rnacentral:lncRNA from 1 species
UUGAGGAGAAGAAAGAAUUUUUAAACUCCAUUCGUGGCUGAAUCAUUGAAUUUAUUGUUGUAAUUAAAAGCAUAUUUGUUUUUUAGGAAUUAGAUAAGAUGAGAAAGAUUUGAGGAGAGUAAAAUGGAAAGAGAGGAGACUGUUGAUUCUGUUUCUAAAACAGUGGCAACCUACAAAAGCCCAAUUAGAUUAUGACCAUGGGAUCCCUAAACUCAUUGUCUGAGGGCCUUGUGUUAAACAACAUUAGAACAAAAGAGCUUUCAUGACUCUAUUUAGGGACUGCAGGAUCCCGGGCAUUGGCAUGGGUUGGCCCAAAAUCUGUUACAACGCUUGCUACAGCAAAAUCCAUUACGAAGAAGAAAAGUACAAAGAAAUGCAAGUCGCCGCUGCCUCAGAAUUCGAGCUGAAAAGUUCCAAGCAAAUCCGAUGUCCGCUACCGCAGAUAGAGUAGUAUAGUACAUCAGGCAAUAAUAAUGUGAGACCAAAUUUUUAGGCCACUUUUGCCCACCAUUUGGGCUGUCCAGUUAUAGCUACGACCCUCCUAACCCCACGGACUCAGCCUAUUCCGCAAGGCAAGGCAAGGUAACAAGGUCGGUCCCCUCCCCUGUGAUAUUUGAAGCUUUAAUUUUAAUAACAAAUUAACUAAAUUGGAUUAGUUCCUUAGUUCCAAGGAAAUAGAAAUUACUUGGAACUUUGGUUGGUUUGGUCCUUAAAGCCCCCCUUGCCGAUUUUCAGUCACAUUUAUAAAUUUGGCAGCUCUUACAAGAAUGGUCCACAACGUCCCACUUUCGUCCCUCCUACAAGAUGAUAGACGAAAGAAAAACAGAAAUACGAAUGAAUUGAACUGGUUAAGCAAAUCAUGUAGCAGAUAACGAUGGACUUGAAGUCCACACGUAAACGCUGUUGCAACGCGCCGUGCGAGGGAGAUUUAGGCCUUCAUUCAUCCAUAAUAACAGGCUGACUUUUUGCCGUGUUGGAUGGAUAGGCUUUAAAUUAAGGAGAACAGUCAUAUUGGACCGGAGGGCCAGUGGGGACUCUUAUUUUGUUUGUAGAUUAACCUUAUUUUUCCAUGCAGCGCCACGCAGACGAAAACUUUUAUUCGUGGCCUGGCUAAGCUUGUCGACUAUUUAGAAUCCCUACAUGUGACUCACCCAUGUGCUUAAUGUGGCUUAUUUACGAAAUGUAAAGAAUCUUGGUUGGAAUGACUGAUUCUAUCUUAGCCACACCCAAAAGCAGCUCACCUCCUAAUUGUCCGAAACAACAAAAACAUCUCCUCCCACGUUUAUAAGAAUAUUCAUGUCCCUCCUAAGUUGAUUGCAC